rnacentral:rRNA from 1 species
AUUGAACGCUGGCGGCAUGCUUUACAUAUGCAAGUCGAACGGUAACAGGCCGCAAGGUGCUGACGAGUGGCGAACGGGUGAGUAAUGCAUCGGAACGUGCCCAGUCGUGGGGGAUAACGCAGCGAAAGCUGCGCUAAUACCGCAUACGAUCUAUGGAUGAAAGCGGGGGACCGUACGGCCUCGCGCGAUUGGAGCGGCCGAUGUCAGAUUAGGUAGUUGGUGGGGUAAAGGCUCACCAAGCCAACGAUCUGUAGCUGGUCUGAGAGGACGACCAGCCACACUGGGACUGAGACACGGCCCAGACUCCUACGGGAGGCAGCAGUGGGGAAUUUUGGACAAUGGGCGCAAGCCUGAUCCAGCAAUGCCGCGUGCAGGAAGAAGGCCUUCGGGUUGUAAACUGCUUCUGUACGGAACGAAACGGCUCUGGUUAAUACCUGGGGCUAAUGACGGUACCGUAAGAAUAAGCACCGGCUAACUACGUGCCAGCAGCCGCCGCAGUAA